rnacentral:rRNA from 1 species
CAUAGCCACUUGCUAAAGAAACACUGAGGUAUCGGAGGUGAAGCCUGCCCUAUGGUUGGACCUGAAAUAAAUGAACAAUGAGUUAUUUAUAAAGACAAUUAAAUGGAUGCGGUAACCCUAACCGUAAUAAUGUAGCGUAAUUAAUCGUCAAUUAAUUGUUGACAAGUAUGAAUGGCGUCACGAGUGCUUGACUGUCUGAAGACAAGGCCCAAUGAAAUUGAAUUCGUGGUUCAGAUGCUACGUAAUUUUGUAAGACGAGAAGACCCUAUUAAGCUUUACUGGAAACUUAUGCUGUCAUAAUAAAUAGUUGUAAGGAGUGGGAAGUGAGAAUUAUAAACCAAUUAUAGAUUUGAAAGACAAGAUCGCAAAUGAAAAUAAAUAGGUAUGUUGGACAGUUUGGUUGGGGCGACUCCCUAAGAAAUGAUAACUAAGGGGCACUAAGGUAAUAAAGCCUGACUGUCAGAGGGCACUCAAACAGACACGGAAGUGGGUAUAGCGAACCGUUAAUAAAAGUGAAAUAGUUAACGAUAAACGAAUAAAAGUUACUAUAGGGAUAACAGCGUUAUAUUGUUAGAGAGUACACAUCAACAACAGUGUUUGCGACCUCGAUGUUGAAUUGCGGCAUCCUAAGGGUGCAGAAGCUCUAAAGGGUUGGUCUGUUCGACUAUAAAAGCCUUACAUGAUUUGAG